UACGGAGGGUGCAAGCGUUGUCCGGAUUUAUUGGGUUUAAAGGGUGCGUAGGCGGCCCAUUAAGUCAGCGGUGAAAGCCCGGGGCUCAACCCCGGAACCGCCGUUGAUACUGGUGGGCUUGAGUAUGGACGAGGUUGGCGGAAUUGAGGGUGUAGCGGUGAAAUGCUUAGAUACCCUCAAGAACACCGAUUGCGUAGGCAGCUAACUAGGCCAUAACUGACGCUGGGGCACGAAAGCGUGGGGAGCGAACAGG
rnacentral:rRNA from 1 species